UCGUGCCUUCUCACAUGGUAUCAGAGCUAUCGUGAGAGAUUUAUCGCUAUGCAUAAAUUCCAGCGAUUCCGGAAAGUGAAAUCAGUCAUCGGAACCCUUUAUCCAGCAACUUUCAAAGUUGUUUUGCGUCUUGUCUCUGUCAGUAUUGUGUAAAAAAUCAAACACUACCACAAGAAUAAUCACUGUCCGGCGACCAAACCCUAGUGAAAAUAUCCGGCGGUAUUGUAGCUGUCCGAAGAAAAUUUUCCUACGAAGUUCCGACGUCACGUGGGCUACCUUCCGGCCAUUUUUUGGCGACGACUCUUCAGGACAGAUUGUUCCCCUUGCAAUUACACCAAAUUCCGACCACUUUUAUAUUUUUCCGGCAUCAAUAGUGAUUUCAAAAGUGGAAUUCCAACCAUUUUUUGAAAAAGUUCCUUCAGAACAGUUGGGUCGUCUGUUAAUUCCGAUUCUACCCCGACUGUUUAUAUUUCAUUUUGACCGCUUUGAAUUUUUCCCGACUGCUACGGUAAUAAUUCGAGAGCUACAGUAUUUCUGAAGUGAACAGUAUUUUUCGGUGCAGAACAGUGUUCUGCUUUCCUGCUAUAAACAGUGUUUUCUCAAUGAUUUAUUCAGUUUUCCCAAAAGAGUUACUAAUUUUCACUAUUUCAAGUUAACCCUACAACUAUUAAUUGUAGCGACAUGGGAACUGAUGCUUCAAAUAGUCGGAUGGUUUCUUUGGUGUAUUACUUUGAGUUUCUUCAGUACAAACCAGGUAAGUAGACAUCUUCUGAGAUAGCUUCCGUUGUUCAGACAGGUAAUAGCGUGACUUGUGUCUCUCAAU
rnacentral:lncRNA from 1 species